UGCAGGGUGCUGACGAGCGGCGGACGGGUGAGUAACACGUAGGAACCUGACCUUUAGAGGGGGACAACCAAGGGAAACUUUGGCUAAUACCGCGUAAUCUCGAAAGAGUAAAGUUGCCGCAAGGUAACGCUAAAGGAGGGGCCUGCGUCCGAUUAGCUAGCUGGUGAGGUAAGAGCUCACCAAGGCGAUGAUCGGUAACUGGUCUGAGAGGACGACCAGUCACACUGGGACUGAGACACGGCCCAGACUCCUACGGGAGGCAGCAGUGGGGAAUAUUGGACAAUGGGGGCAACCCUGAUCCAGCGAUGCCGCGUGAGUGAAGAAGGCCUUCGGGUCGUAAAGCUCUUUAGGUUGGGAAGAAGUGUGCUAGAGGAUAAUUCUAGUACGUUGACGGUACCGACAGAAUAAGCACCGGCAAACUCUGUGCCAGCAGCCGCGGUAAUACAGAGGGUGCAAGCGUUAAUCGGAGUUACUGGGCGUAAAGGGCGCGUAGGCGGUUUAAUGUGUGUGAUGUGAAAGCCCUGGGCUUAACCUGGGAAGUGCAUCGCAAACU
rnacentral:rRNA from 1 species